rnacentral:rRNA from 1 species
UACAGAGGUCUCAAGCGUUGUUCGGAUUCAUUGGGCGUAAAGGGUGCGUAGGCGGCGCGGUAAGUCGGGUGUGAAAUCUCGGAGCUUAACUCCGAAACUGCAUUCGAUACUGCCGUGCUUGAGGACUGGAGAGGAGAGUGGAAUUUACGGUGUAGCGGUGAAAUGCGUAGAUAUCGUAAGGAAGACCAGUGGCGAAGGCGGGUCUCUGGACAGUUCCUGACGCUGAGGCACGAAGGUCAGGGGAGCAAACGGG